rnacentral:rRNA from 1 species
UGGGGAAUUUUGCACAAUGGGGGAAACCCUGAUGCAGCGACGCCGCGUGAUUUAGAAGGCCUUCGGGUUGUAAAAAUCUUUUUUACGGGAUGAAAAUGACAGUACCGUAAGAAUAAGGUCCGGCUAAAUACGUGCCAGCAGCCGCGGUAAUACGUAUGGACCGAGCGUUGUCCGGAAUCAUUGGGCGGAAAGGGUACGUAGGCGGCCUAGUAAGUUAGAAGUGAAAUAAUAUAGCUCAACUAUAUAAAGCUUUUAAAACUGCUAGGCUUGAGAGAUGGAAGGGAAAGUGGAAUUCCUAGUGUAGCGGUGAAAUGCGCAGAUAUUAGGAAGAAUACCGGUGGCGAAGGCGACUUUCUGGUCAUCAUCUGACGCUGAGGUACGAAAGCGUGGGUAGCAAACAGG